ACGAAGGGUGCAAGCGUUACUCGGAAUUACUGGGCGUAAAGGGUGCGUAGGUGGUUUUUUAAGUCUGCUGUGAAAUCCCCGGGCUUAACCUGGGAAUGGCAUUUGGGACUGCAAGGCUGGAGUGUGGCAGAGGAGACUGGAAUUCCCGGUGUAGCAGUGAAAUGUGUAGAUAUCGGGAGGAAUACCGAUGGCGAAGGCAGGUCUCUGGGCUGACACUGACGCUCAUGCACGAAAGCGUGGGGAGCAAACAGGA
rnacentral:rRNA from 1 species